CCUACGGGAGGCUGCAGUAGGGAAUAUUGCACAAUGGGCGCAAGCCUGAUGCAGCCAUGCCGCGUGUGUGAAGAAGGCCUUCGGGUUGUAAAGCACUUUCAGCGGGGAGGAAGGCGUUAAGGUUAAUAACCUUGUCGAUUGACGUUACCCGCAGAAGAAGCACCGGCUAACUCCGUGCCAGCAGCCGCGGUAAUACGGAGGGUGCAAGCGUUAAUCGGAAUUACUGGGCGUAAAGCGCACGCAGGCGGUCUGUCAAGUCGGAUGUGAAAUCCCCGGGCUCAACCUGGGAACUGCAUUCGAAACUGGCAGGCUAGAGUCUUGUAGAGGGGGGUAGAAUUCCAGGUGUAGCGGUGAAAUGCGUAGAGACCUGGAGGAAUACCGGUGGCGAAGGCGGCCCCCUGGACAAAGACUGACGCUCAGGUGCGAAAGCGUGGGGAGCAAACAGGAUUAGAUACCCCAGUAGUC
rnacentral:rRNA from 1 species